rnacentral:rRNA from 1 species
GAUAAACGCUGGCGGCGUGCCUUAUGCAUGCAAGUCGAACGGUCUCGAUUUAUCGAGAUAGUGGCGAACGGGUGAGUAACGCGUAAGUAACCUGCCCCUAAGUAAGGGAUAACUCUGAGAAAUUAGAGCUAAUACCGUAGUGGUGGUGGAGGUAAUGCUUCAUCACUAAAGCUUUAGGGCGCUUAGGGAGGGACUUGCGUCCGAUUAGCUAGUUGGUAGGGUAAUGGUCUACCAAGGCGAUGAUCGGUAGCUGGUUUGAGAGGACAUCCAGCCACACUGGGAUUGAGAUACGGCCCAGACUCCUACGGGAGGCAGCAGCAAGGAAUUUUGUGCAAUGGGCGAAAGCCUGACACAGCGACGCCGUGUGGGGGAUGAAGGCCUUCGGGUUGUAAACCCCUUUUCUCAGGGAAGAAUAAUGACGGUACCUGAGGAAUAAGUCGUGGCUAACUACGUGCCAGCAGCCGCGGUAAUACGUAGGCGGCAAGCGUUAUCCGGAUUUAUUGGGCGUAAAGAGGGCGUAGGCGGUUUUUCAAGUCGAUUGUAAAAUCUCCCGGCUUAACUGGGAGGGGCCAGUCGAUACUGUUAGACUAGAGGGCAGCAGGGGGAGGUGGAAUUCCCGGUGUAGUGGUGAAAUGUGUAGAUAUCGGGAGGAACACCAGUGGCGAAGGCGGCCUCCUAGGCUGUUUCUAACGCUGAGGUCCGAAAGCGUGGGGAGCAAACAGGAUCAGAUACCCUGGUAGUCCACGCUGUAAUCGAUGGACACUAGGUAUAGGGAGUAUCGACCCUCUCUGUGCCGAAGCUAACGCAUUAAGUGU